UGAUUGAUGGUGCUUGCACCUGAUUGAUUUUGGUCGCCAACGAGUGGCGGACGGGUGAGUAACACGUAGGUAACCUGCCCAGAAGCGGGGGACAACAUUUGGAAACAGAUGCUAAUACCGCAUAAGAACGUUGUUCGCAUGAACAACGCUUAAAAGAUGGCUUCUCGCUAUCACUUCUGGAUGGACCUGCGGUGCAUUAGCUUGUUGGUGGGGUAACGGCCUACCAAGGCGAUGAUGCAUAGCCGAGUUGAGAGACUGAUCGGCCACAAUGGGACUGAGACACGGCCCAUACUCCUACGGGAGGCAGCAGUAGGGAAUCUUCCACAAUGGGCGCAAGCCUGAUGGAGCAACACCGCGUGAGUGAAGAAGGGUUUCGGCUCGUAAAGCUCUGUUGUUAAAGAAGAACACGUAUGAGAGUAACUGUUCAUACGUUGACGGUAUUUAACCAGAAAGUCACGGCUAACUACGUGCCAGCAGCCGCGGUAAUACGUAGGUGGCAAGCGUUAUCCGGAUUUAUUGGGCGUAAAGAGAGUGCAGGCGGUUUUCUAAGUCUGAUGUGAAAGCCUUCGGCUUAACCGGAGAAGUGCAUCGGAAACUGGAUAACUUGAGUGCAGAAGAGGGUAGUGGAACUCCAUGUGUAGCGGUGGAAUGCGUAGAUAUAUGGAAGAACACCAGUGGCGAAGGCGGCUACCUGGUCUGCAACUGACGCUGAGACUCGAAAGCAUGGGUAGCGAACAGGAUUAGAUACCCUGGUAGUCCAUGCCGUAAACGAUGAGUGCUAGGUGUUGGAGGGUUUCCGCCCUUCAGUGCCGGAGCUAACGCAUUAAGCACUCCGCCUGGGGAGUACGACCGCAAGGUUGAAACUCAAAGGAAUUGACGGGGGCCCGCACAAGCGGUGGAGCAUGUGGUUUAAUUCGAAGCUACGCGAAGAACCUUACCAGGUCUUGACAUCCUGCGCCAACCCUAGAGAUAGGGCGUUUCCUUCGGGAACGCAAUGACAGGUGGUGCAUGGUCGUCGUCAGCUCGUGUCGUGAGAUGUUGGGUUAAGUCCCGCAACGAGCGCAACCCUUGUUACUAGUUGCCAGCAUUAAGUUGGGCACUCUAGUGAGACUGCCGGUGACAAACCGGAGGAAGGUGGGGACGACGUCAGAUCAUCAUGCCCCUUAUGACCUGGGCUACACACGUGCUACAAUGGACGGUACAACGAGUCGCGAACUCGCGAGGGCAAGCAAAUCUCUUAAAACCGUUCUCAGUUCGGACUGCAGGCUGCAACUCGCCUGCACGAAGUCGGAAUCGCUAGUAAUCGCGGAUCAGCAUGCCGCGGUGAAUACGUUCCCGGGCCUUGUACACACCGCCCGUCACACCAUGAGAGUUUGUAACACCCAAAGUCGGUGGGGUAA
rnacentral:rRNA from 2 species